ensembl:lncRNA
GCCUGGGAUGUGACACUGGUGACCAGGGUGUGAACGGGGAAGGACACAUUCCAAGGUCACUGGCGCAGCCGGAUUCCCUCUUCACCCUUACAGAACAGUGGGAUCAGGGGCUGGAAUGUGCACUCGUACCUCUCUGUUCGCAGCAUACCUCUGUGGUUCGCCGGCUGCACACCUAAGGGCUGUUGUAAAAGCCCGGGUCAAUCACUGCAGGAGCCGCCACGUCGGCGCCGCAAUCCUUGUGUUUCUGUGAAGAGGGUGAUUUCAACUGGAUGCAUGCAGAGAAGACCACUGAGCAAUGAAAAAGAGCUGGCAGCAACCCAGAGUCUCUACUUAAUUCAAAAUCUAAAAGAUUCAAUUGUGUGGGAAUGAAAAUGAAGACAAAUGUUAGUGUCUCCUGGUUUAUUUCUAAAUUGGAUGAAAAGGAAAAGUGUUUCAAGUCCUUCCACCCAAAACAUUUCCAAACUGCUAGGAAUCAUCUCCUGGAAAAAGUAUGCUUGAGCCCAGCACCUCAAAAGUCUUGGACCUCGGCUAAAUGAGCCACCUGUCCUAGGUGAAGAGUAUUGGCUGCCACUCAGUCCCCUCUGUUCUACUUUUCCUUCUCUGCAUGCAAUCUCUCUUUUUUUUCUUUUUUACCUCUAUGUUGUGAAUUACAUAAUAUUGUCCAAAUUUCCUCAUAAAAUAAAGUAUAAG